UUUGUGACUGAAGAAAUCGCUAAAAACUAAAAAAAAAAAUUAGUCACUAUGGCGUAUACGUAACAUAUUUUUUUAUUUUUUGAAUUGCGUUCAUAACUAUUAUUCGUUCAAAAUUUAGAUGUACCUAUGUUGUACAUCGCAGAGCUAAGCUUAAAAAUUUUAUUUUCUAAUGCACAAACGAUACAUAUGCUUGUUUGCAUCAGAUUAUUCUGAAACUUCACAUCAAAAAAAAAAAAAAACGAAAGGUAAACCAAAAAUCUUCUAAAAGAUAGACCUUAUUAAUGGAAUCAUUAGCUGACAAAAUUUGGUUUGUUUUAUUUAAAAAAUCAAAAUUUUAAAACAAAAUUAUUAAAAAAAGUAACCGACUUUUAUCGUAUUAAAAAUGUUGGUUACAAUUAAUUUAUCUGAUUGUCUAACAAGCCAGUCCCAGAUAUUUUCUUCAUUUAAUUUUCUUAUUACAUUCCAAAGAAAAAAAUCUACGUGAGAUGUUUCACUUAAUUUUAACCAUACUUACUGUAGUGUCAACGGUUUGAUUUAGUAUUAAAUCUUAUUAAUAGAAAAUUUUUUAUCACAUGGUGCAUUAUUGCCAUAGUAUGAAUAUUGAAGGUAUUUCCGAGCACUUAAAUCUAUUUGUGUCUUAUAACUGUCCAAAAAUAAAGUCGUAAAUAGUAGACAUUUAUAUAUUUUUAAUACUUUGAAUUUAUUUUUAACCUUAAUUACGUACAUUAGAUAAAAAAGUAUUAAAACAAUUAUAUUCGUUGGUUUUUAAUAAUAAAAUAACCAUUUCCAACAACAAGUAUAAAUCCUCUGCAUCAGUGAUUAAAUAUUUAUGUAGCUUAGAAGUAAAGCUUUGAUUUAUAGAAUUUUAUAUAUAUUUUUAUAAUCUUAAAGAAAAACACCAGUGAGGGGAUAUCGGUUAGAAAGGUCUACAUACGAUGAUGGGUGUGUAUGAUCUAUAUGAUUAUAUCUUAACCAACUAUAGACUUGACGUACAAGAUAUAGAUAGAUACUUUUUGUGUGACAAAAAUAAGAAAAAAAAAAAGAAGAAUAGAAGAUACUUUUCUGGAGUGGUAAAGAAUAUAAAAGCAGUUGCUGAGGCAACUUUCGGAUAGUUGUUUGGUGUGAGUGAAUAACUAUGGGUUAACUCUUAACGCAUCACUUCCAUUAUAUUGAUGAAAGAAACAAAAUUAUUUUUCUAUAUUAUUUUAAAAUUAUUGAAACAUAAAAAAACAAAACUGAAAUAAUGGAAUACAAAUUACUUGAUGGUCGAGCAGCUACUCAGCAAAAGCUUCUGAAAUGGAUUCGAAAAUCUACUAAAAAACUUAUCUCAAAUAUGGCCAUGUUGCGUAUAGAAGUUUCAUAUUGUCGAACUUUAUCUUAAAUUUUGUUUUUAGUUUUGUAAUAAUUAAAGUUGUUGUUAAUUUGUAAUUUUAAUAAUAAAAAAAAUACUAAUGUA